rnacentral:rRNA from 1 species
UACGUAGGGUGCGAGCGUUGUCCGGAAUUAUUGGGCGUAAAGGGCUCGUAGGCGGUUUGUCGCGUCGGGAGUGAAAUCACUGGGCUUAACCGAGUGCUUGCUUUCGAUACGGGCAGACUUGAGGCAUUCAGGGGAGAACGGAAUUCCUGGUGUAGCGGUGAAAUGCGCAGAUAUCAGGAGGAACACCGGUGGCGAAGGCGGUUCUCUGGGCAGUAACUGACGCUGAGGAGCGAAAGCGUGGGGAGCGAACAGG